GACGAACGCUGGCGGCGCGCUUAACACAUGCAAGUCGAGCGAGAACCAGGACUUCGGUCCUGGGGACAGCGGCGAACGGGUGAGUAACACGUGGAUAACCUGCCCUCGGCACCGGGAUAGCCCGGGGAAACCCGGAUUAAUACCGGAUGGCCCUUCCGGCUCACGAGCCGGUCGGAAAAGGUAGCUUCGGCCUCCGGCCGAGGAUGGGUCCGCGGCGGAUUAGCUUGUUGGUGGGGUAACGGCCUACCAAGGCUCCGAUCCGUAGCUGGUCUGAGAGGACGAUCAGCCACACUGGGACUGAGACACGGCCCAGACUCCUACGGGAGGCAGCAGUGGGGAAUCUUGCGCAAUGGGCGAAAGCCUGACGCAGCGACGCCGCGUGAGGGAGGAAGGCCUUCGGGUUGUAAACCUCUUUCAGGAGGGACGAAGCUACUCGGGUGAAUAGCCCAGAGGGUGACGGUACCUCCAGAAGAAGCCCCGGCUAACUACGUGCCAGCAGCCGCCGUAAAAC
rnacentral:rRNA from 1 species